UCAGUUGUGAAAGUUUGCGGCUCAACCGUAAAAUUGCAGUUGAUACUGGCUGUCUUGAGUACAGUAGAGGUGGGCGGAAUUCGUGGUGUAGCGGUGAAAUGCUUAGAUAUCACGAAGAACUCCGAUUGCGAAGGCAGCCUGCUAAGCUGCAACUGACAUUGAGGCUCGAAAGUGUGGGUAUCAAACAGGAUUAGAUACCCUGGUAGUCCACACGGUAAACGAUGAAUACUCGCUGUUUGCGAUAUACGGCAAGCGGCCAAGCGAAAGCGUUAAGUAUUCCACCUGGGGAGUACGCCGGCAACGGUGAAACUCAAAGGAAUUGACGGGGGCCCGCACAAGCGGAGGAACAUGUGGUUUAAUUCGAUGAUACGCGAGGAACCUUACCCGGGCUUAAAUUGCACUCGAAUGAUCCGGAAACGGUUCAGCUAGCAAUAGCGAGUGUGAAGGUGCUGCAUGGUUGUCGUCAGCUCGUGCCGUGAGGUGUCGGCU
rnacentral:rRNA from 1 species